rnacentral:rRNA from 1 species
UACGGAGGUUGCAAGCGUUAUCCGGAUUUACUGGGUUUAAAGGGUGCGCAGGCGGAUCUGUAAGUCAGUGGUGAAAGCUCCGGGCUCAACCCGGAAACUGCCAUUGAUACUGCAGAUCUUGAGUAUAGUUGAGGUGGGCGGAAUAAGUCAUGUAGCGGUGAAAUGCUUAGAUAUGACUUAGAACACCGAUUGCGAAGGCAGCUCACUAAGCUAUUACUGACGCUCAGGCACGAAAGCGUGGGUAGCGAACAGG